GACAAACACCAGACCUGAAAGAGAUAAGUACACAUUGGUGGACUGACACUUUGAAAGCAACAUGUUUGAUUGUGGAGGUUUAUGGAUAAAGAUGUGGUAUUUGCUACCAAAACAAUUAACACCAGACCUGAAAGAGAUAAGUACACAGUGGUGGACUGACACUUUGCAAUCACAUUUGUGUUAAUAUUUAUGCAUUAAUUAUAUGCAUCACACAACCACAUUUGUGUUACUAUUAUUCCAUCUAAUACUUAUUAGCUAAUACAGGUUAAAAAGCCAAGAAAUUGGAUCUAGUGUGCAGCUUUGAGCAGAACUGAAAGGCUGAUUGCAAUCAUGAUAUAUCAUAGAGCCAAGAAGUGGGAUAUAGUGUGCAUGCUUUUAGCAGAAGUGAAAAAAUGGAUUGCAAUCCUGAUGCACCAUAGAGGGAUCUUAUAUGCUCGCACCACCCGAAGCUUAAGAGCCUGCCUGGUAUUCAUCGGAGAUAUCUGGCUAGCAAGGACAAACAUUUUUUGUUACUG